rnacentral:rRNA from 1 species
GAUGAACGCUGGCGGCGUGCCUAAUACAUGCAAGUCGAGCGAAUGGAUUAAGAGCUUGCUCUUAUGAAGUUAGCGGCGGACGGGUGAGUAACACGUGGGUAACCUGCCCAUAAGACUGGGAUAACUCCGGGAAACCGGGGCUAAUACCGGAUAACAUUUUGAACCGCAUGGUUCGAAAUUGAAAGGCGGCUUCGGCUGUCACUUAUGGAUGGACCCGCGUCGCAUUAGCCAGUUGGUGAGGUAACGGCUCACCAAGGCAACGAUGCGUAGCCGACCUGAGAGGGUGAUCGGCCACGCUGGGACUGAGACACGGCCCAGACUCCUACGGGAGGUAGCAGUAGGGAAUCUUCCGCAAUGGACGAAAGUCUGACGGAGCAACGCCGCGUGAGUGAUGAAGGCUUUCGGGUCGUAAAACUCUGUUGUUAGGGAAGAACAAGUGCUAGUUGAAUAAGCUGGCACCUUGACGGUACCUAACCAGAAAGCCACGGCUAACUACGUGCCAGCCGCCGCCGUAA